GACGAAGAGGUCGAAAAUGUAGGUAUUGCCAGAUAUUGUCACUGUCCGAGGAACAUGCUGUGGAAGCGUUAUUGCUGGCAAAACCAGAGGACAUAUCAGAUGUUUUGGGUGAACUCCUCCUGAAUCUGAACUGGCUGACACAGAAGGCACAGCAUGAUUAUAGGUAUGUUUUGAUGUGAGAGAGGAAGCCAGUCCAGUCAUCACCACCUCACCCACUCGUAAGAUAACCUUUGGGGCCCAAGGCUGGU